ACAGCCUGGCCGGCCAAGGGCGAGAGAUGCACCCGCCUCUGCUUCCUGCAGGGCUGGCGAAGAUGGGCCCGGGCGGCUCCGCUCAUGGAGCCGCAGAACAGUGGCGGAAGAGCCGCAAAGCGGCUCGCGAGCCACGGGUUCCCUACACCCCUGCCUUAUUGACAAAAUGUACUGUU